GAUGAACGCUGGCGGUAUGCUUAACACAUGCAAGUCGAACGGACUCUUCGGAGUUAGUGGCGGACGGGUGAGUAACGCGUGAGAAUCUGGCUUUGGGUUUGGGACAACCACUGGAAACGGUGGCUAAUACCGGAUGUGCCGAGAGGUAAAAGAGAAAUUGCCUGAAGAUGAGCUCGCGUCUGAUUAGCUAGUUGGUGAGGUAAAGGCUCACCAAGGCAGCGAUCAGUAGCUGGUCUGAGAGGAUGACCAGCCACACUGGGACUGAGACACGGCCCAGACUCCUACGGGAGGCAGCAGUGGGGAAUUUUCCGCAAUGGGCGAAAGCCUGACGGAGCAAUACCGCGUGAGGGAAGAAGGCUCUUGGGUUGUAAACCUCUUUUCUUAGGGAAGAACAAAAUGACGGUACCUAAGGAAUCAGCAUCGGCUAACUCCGUG
rnacentral:rRNA from 1 species